rnacentral:rRNA from 1 species
UACGUAGGGUGCGAGCGUUAAUCGGAAUUACUGGGCGUAAAGCGUGCGCAGGCGGUUCGUUGUGUCGGCGGUGAAAGCCCCGGGCUCAACCUGGGAAUGGCCGUUGAAACUGGCGAACUGGAGUGUGGCAGAGGGGGGUGGAAUUCCGCGUGUAGCAGUGAAAUGCGUAGAGAUUGGGAAGAACACCUGUGGCGAAGGCGGCCCCCUGGUUGGAUACUGACGCUGAUACGCGAAAGCGUGGGGAGCAAACAGG